AUAAAAUACGAACAAUAAGCUCAUAUAAUCUUGAGGAUAUGGCUCAAGAGUCUCUACCAGGUUGCCGUAAACUACCUGACUAUGAGUGAAAGUGUACCUAGG
rnacentral:ncRNA from 2 species